GACGAACGCUGGCGGCGUGCUUAACACAUGCAAGUCGAACGGAAAGGCCCUGCUUUUGUGGGGUGCUCGAGUGGCGAACGGGUGAGUAACACGUGAGUAACCUGCCCUUGACUUUGGGAUAACUUCAGGAAACUGGGGCUAAUACCGGAUAGGAGCUCCUGCUGCAUGGUGGGGGUUGGAAAGUUUCGGCGGUUGGGGAUGGACUCGCGGCUUAUCAGCUUGUUGGGGGGGUAGUGGCUUACCAAGGCUUUGACGGGUAGCCGGCCUGAGAGGGUGACCGGCCACAUUGGGACUGCGAUACGGCCCAGACUCCUACGGGAGGCAGCAGUGGGGAAUAUUGCACAAUGGGCGGAAGCCUGAUGCAGCAACGCCGCGUGCGGGAUGACGGCCUUCGGGUUGUAAACCGCUUUCGCCUGUGACGAAGCGUGAGUGGCGGUAAUGGGUAAAGAAGCACCGGCUAACUACGUG
rnacentral:rRNA from 1 species